AAAUUGAAGAGUUUGAUCAUGGCUCAGAUUGAACGCUGGCGGCAGGCCUAACACAUGCAAGUCGAACGGUAACAGGAAGCAGCUUGCUGCUUCGCUGACGAGUGGCGGACGGGUGAGUAAUGUCUGGGAAACUGCCUGAUGGAGGGGGAUAACUACUGGAAACGGUGGCUAAUACCGCAUAACGUCGCAAGACCAAAGAGGGGGACCUUCGGGCCUCUUGCCAUCAGAUGUGCCCAGAUGGGAUUAGCUUGUUGGUGAGGUAACGGCUCACCAAGGCGACGAUCCCUAGCUGGUCUGAGAGGAUGACCAGCCACACUGGAACUGAGACACGGUCCAGACUCCUACGGGAGGCAGCAGUGGGGAAUAUUGCACAAUGGGCGCAAGCCUGAUGCAGCCAUGCCGCGUGUAUGAAGAAGGCCUUCGGGUUGUAAAGUACUUUCAGCGGGGAGGAAGGUGUUGCGGUUAAUAACCGCAGCAAUUGACGUUACCCGCAGAAGAAGCACCGGCUAACUCCGUGCCAGCAGCCGCGGUAAUACGGAGGGUGCAAGCGUUAAUCGGAAUUACUGGGCGUAAAGCGCACGCAGGCGGUCUGUCAAGUCGGAUGUGAAAUCCCCGGGCUCAACCUGGGAACUGCAUUCGAAACUGGCAGGCUUGAGUCUUGUAGAGGGGGGUAGAAUUCCAGGUGUAGCGGUGAAAUGCGUAGAGAUCUGGAGGAAUACCGGUGGCGAAGGCGGCCCCCUGGACAAAGACUGACGCUCAGGUGCGAAAGCGUGGGGAGCAAACAGGAUUAGAUACCCUGGUAGUCCACGCCGUAAACGAUGUCUACUUGGAGGUUGUGCCCUUGAGGCGUGGCUUCCGGAGCUAACGCGUUAAGUAGACCGCCUGGGGAGUACGGCCGCAAGGUUAAAACUCAAAUGAAUUGACGGGGGCCCGCACAAGCGGUGGAGCAUGUGGUUUAAUUCGAUGCAACGCGAAGAACCUUACCUGGUCUUGACAUCCACGGAAGUUUUCAGAGAUGAGAAUGUGCCUUCGGGAACCGUGAGACAGGUGCUGCAUGGCUGUCGUCAGCUCGUGUUGUGAAAUGUUGGGUUAAGUCCCGCAACGAGCGCAACCCUUAUCCUUUGUUGCCAGCGGUCCGGCCGGGAACUCAAAGGAGACUGCCAGUGAUAAACUGGAGGAAGGUGGGGAUGACGUCAAGUCAUCAUGGCCCUUACGACCAGGGCUACACACGUGCUACAAUGGCGCAUACAAAGAGAAGCGACCUCGCGAGAGCAAGCGGACCUCAUAAAGUGCGUCGUAGUCCGGAUUGGAGUCUGCAACUCGACUCCAUGAAGUCGGAAUCGCUAGUAAUCGUGGAUCAGAAUGCCACGGUGAAUACGUUCCCGGGCCUUGUACACACCGCCCGUCACACCAUGGGAGUGGGUUGCAAAAGAAGUAGGUAGCUUAACCUUCGGGAGGGCGCUUACCACUUUGUGAUUCAUGACUGGGGUGAAGUCGUAACAAGGUAACCGUAGGGGAACCUGCGGUUGGAUCACCUCCUUACCUUAAAGAA
rnacentral:rRNA from 1 species